ACAAUUGGGACAACAUAGGGGGAAACAUGAGGGAUUAUAGGCCCCAGAAAGAUUACUCGCUUGAAGAGAUUAAUGGAAAGGCGAGACUUGGCGUAGGAUAGACUGAGAGGCGGGCUGGAGGUAGGGUGGGCGGGGGACCCCACUUCGGCUUUCGAAUUCCCACGGGGUAUAGGAGCCUUUAAUGGUUUCCCAGGGGCAACGAUGUAUUGUUUGAUUCUCCCAGCGGUUUUAAAGAAACUGCUGUGUGUCGGGCCCUGUGCUAGGCACAACACGGGGAGAUGAUGUGGCGUUCGCUCCAGCUGGAGAGGUGUGGCGUACAGAAGGCGGGGAGGUUGAUGUCUAAGGAUCGGAUGGAGGGUCGUGGGCCUGAGGUAGAGGUCCUGAGGAAAGAGCAAUGCCCAGUGGCAGCCCGAUCCCAUCAGGACUGCUGGAAGCAGUUGUGGACCUCGGGAGGAGAAACUGUCUGCAGAGGAAGAGCCUUACACACAGCCUGGAGCCUCCCGAAACAGCAGUCUUCAGGAUAGAGAACCACAGAAAAAUGAUGCAACACCCAACUUCACAAACGUGACAAAGUUUACACAUCGCUGUCCAAAAGCCAGAGUCACAAUUAAUCAGGAAACCUAAAUUAUUCUCAUUAAAGUUAGGUAUUCCAUAA